rnacentral:rRNA from 1 species
UACGUAGGGGGCUAGCGUUGUCCGGAAUCAUUGGGCGUAAAGAGCGUGUAGGCGGCCCCUUAAGUCCUGCGUGAAAUCCUGCGGCUCAACCGCAGACGGUCGUGCGAAACUGCCGGGCUUGAGGUCAGAAGGGGAAAGUGGAAUUCCGGGUGUAGUGGUGGAAUACGUAGAUAUCCGGAGGAACACCAGCGGCGAAGGCGGCUUUCUGGUCUGAUACUGACGCUGAGGCGCGAAAGCGUGGGGAGCGAUCCGG